rnacentral:rRNA from 1 species
AUUGAACGCUGGCGGAAUGCUUUACACAUGCAAGUCGAACGGCAGCACGGACUUCGGUCUGGUGGCGAGUGGCGAACGGGUGAGUAACAUAUCGGAACGUAUCCAAUAAUGGGGGAUAACUAAUCGAAAGGUUGGCUAAUACCGCAUACGCCCUGAGGGGGAAAGCUAGGGAUCGUCAAGACCUGGCGUUAAUGGAGCGGCCGAUAUCUGAUUAGCUAGUUGGUGGGUAAAGCCCACAAGGCGACGAUCAGUAGCUGGUCUGAGAGGACGACCAGCCACACUGGAACUGAGACACGGUCCAGACUCCUACGGGUGGCAG